AAAAACAUAGCCCUAAGAAUUUAUUUAGGGUGAAGCCUGCCCAAUGAGUUUUUUUAAUGGCCGCGGUACUCUGACCGUGCUAAGGUAGCAUAAUCAAUUGACUUUUGAAUGAAGUCUGGAAUGAAAGGAAGAACGGGGCUUAGCUGUCUCWAUUUUUYUAUUUUWAAGUUACUAAUUAGGUGAAAAGGCCUAAAUAAGAUAAUAGACGAGAAGACCCUUAGAGCUUUNUAUAURUUUUCGUUGGGGCGACGAAGGGUUNAAGUGAACACCCURUUARUAUAMAAAGGGUUAACCAUAGGWAGAUAAGCUACCUGAGGGAUAACAGCAUAAUCUUUUUUAGGUUUGUGACCUCGAUGUUGGACUAGGGAAYUUUUAGGUUAGCCGCUUAAAGAAAUAAUUCUGUUCGAAUAUUACCCCCUACGUGAUCUGAGUUCAGACCGGAACAAUCCUAUUCUAGGGUCCACAUCGACAGUAGCAUUAACGACCUCGAUGUUGGAUCAGGACAUCCCAAUGGUGCAGCCGCUAUUAAAGGUUCGUUUGUUCAACGAUUAGAGUCCUACGUGAUCUGAGUUCA
rnacentral:rRNA from 1 species